GGGGGUGUAGCUUAGUGGCUCAAAGCAGUCGCCUGUCGAGCGAAAGAUCGUGGGUUCAAAUCCCAUCAUCCCCG
rfam:Oscillatoriales cyanobacterium 'hensonii' Contig_44, whole genome shotgun sequence.